rnacentral:lncRNA from 10 species
GCUUGCAGUUCCCCUUUUGUGAACUGAAGUUCACAAAACCCCCUUUGGAAAAAACAUAAAUCACAGGAGCAUCUGUAAUUUAUGCUUUUUCCCAGGCGCAUCCUCAGCUUUGGCCAAAUAAACCUCUAAUGGAUGGAGACUUGCUUCAGUCACUUUUUGGUUUACAUUUUGGUAACCACAAAGGGGCUUUCUGAGUGGAGUUGGCUCUUGGCCUGUAGCAACUCUCCUACUGGGGCCCUAGUACCAGCUGGAGCUCUUUAUUGCUCUGACCUAUUGGAUGAUUUGCUGAAGUCUGAGAGUUUCUCCCUCCAGAGAUCCCUAAUCACUCAAAAAUUUCCAGUUGAGAUCUGAAGUUUAUUCCACUGCAGAACUCCUUUUCUGAGAGUUCUUACUUCUAACAAGGAAGAAGACUUUCCUGCUUCCGUGAUGGCAGAGAGCAGUUUUCAGCUUGUGCCCCAUCUCCAGAAUACAGAAUCUAAAGGGGUAUCAGCCAGCCUCCCUAACACAGAGAUACAGAAUGUCUGAGGUAUUGCCUUUGUCUCCAAGAAGGUACAAAUACUUCAGAGAUGGGAAAUUCUAAAUCAAAAGGUGAAAGAUAUCUCCUUCAAAGCUUUUCAGGGGCCCAACUGGAAAAUCUUAAUGUUAAUUUAAGGUCAAAAGACAUAAUUUAGAAUUUGUUUUGGACAGGCACAUAGACCAAUGGAACAGACUAGAGAACUCAGAAAUAAAAUCACACCUCUACAACCAUCUGAUCUUCAACAAAGUUGACAAAAACAAGCAAUGGGGAAGUGAUUCUCUAUUUAACAAGUGGUGCUGUGAGAACUGGCUAGCCAUAUGCAAAAAUUGAAACUGGACCCCUUCCUUACACCGUAUACAAAAAUUAACUCAAGAUGGAUUAAAGACUUAAAUGUAAAACCCGAAAUUAUAAAAACCCUAGAAGAAAAUCUAGGCAAUACCAUUCAGGACACAGACGUGGGCAAAGAUUUUACGAUGAAAUUGCCAAAAACAAAAGCAAUGGCAACAAAAGCAAAAAUUGACAAAUGGGAUUUAAUUAAACUAAAGAGCUUCUGCACAGCGAAAGAAACUAUCAUCAGAGCAAACAGGCAGAAGAAGGUGGAAGGAGCUGACUUGCUGAGUCUUCCCACCUUCAUCUUUCUCUUGUGCUGAUGCUUCCUGCCCUCGAACAUUGAACUCCAAGUUCUUCAGCUUUUGGACUCUUGGAAACUUACACCAGUAAUUUGCCAGGGGCUGUUAGGCCUUCAGCCACAGACUGAAAGCCGCAUUGUUAGCUUCCCAACUUUUGAGGUUUGGGAACUCAGACUGAACCACCACUGGCUUCUUUGCUCCUCGGCUUGCAGGCAGCCUAUCAUGGGACUUCACCUUGUGAUCGUGUGAGUCAACUCUCCUUAAUAAACUAGAAUAUUUCUCAGAAGCCUGAACAACAUAACUUCUAAGACAAAGAUUUUUUGUGUGGACCAACUCACACUCUCCUUAAUAAACUCUCCUUAAUAAACUCCUUUCAUAUAUACAUAUAUCCUAUUAGUUCUGUCCCUUUGGAGACCCCUGACUAAUACACCACCUUCACUCAACUGGACUCUACAGGCAGAUACCCAAGAGACUGAUAUGGUAAGAAGUCUUAACUUUGUCAGAUGCCAGGGUUUCUUAGCUGCAGCCUCACAGUUAGCGGUAUUUGAUACCAACUUCACUGCCAGAACUUUAGGGAAGGAAAAACUUUCCCUCUACUCUCUGAGAGUUUGAUAAUUGAGUCUAAGAAAUAAACUGAUAGUAGACAAGUAAACAGGAGAAAGGUAUACAAAUUUAUUGCAGAAAAGUUAAUAUCCCAAAACCCAGUGAGAUCUAGAAGCAUAUACACCCUCUUCAUAGAGGGGAGGGCAGGAGUGUGGGCAACUUAGAGGAGAGUAAGUGAUUUUGGGGAAAGAUGAAUGACCCCCAGAAGAAGAGAUAAUAGCUUGUGACAAAGUCUGUCUGGCAUGGUGUGGACCUCCAGUCUCCUCUCCUGAGAUCCAAGUCAAUCUUCCCGGGUUAAUAAGACUCCUGGAGAGGAGAUUCAUAAAAAUUGAGUUCCUUUUGAGUUCAUCUUUAGGCAGAUAAGGGGAGCCCAGAGAGCCUAUGCCUAUAUUUGCUGUUUUCCAAGUGCCCUCUGUUAAAGUAAUCAGCAUAUCAAAGUGGCAUAUUUUGGGAUGUCAUUUCCUUAACUGUCUUACUUACAUGACAUGGGAACUUGAUAGACACCUAAAAAUUAAUGUGUCUGAAACUGGCUGAUGAUCUGAAAACUUGAUAUCCCUGCAGUCUUCUACACUUCAGUCUAUGGCAAGUCUAUUUUCUUAGGCCCAAAACCUUACCUCAUCCUUGACUCCCCUCUCUCUCUUAUACCCAUAUUCAAUCUACUGCAAAUCCAUAACUUUACUUUCAAAGAACACCCAGACUCUGCCUGCUUCUCACCAGCUCUAUGGCUAUCAUCCUGCUCCAAGCCACCAUUAUCUGGCCUCAGUUAUUAUAAUAACCUUCCAGCCAGUCUUCCCUCUUCCCCUCUUGGCCCCAUCCCCACGGUCUUUUACAAUACAGCAGCCAGAGUGAUCCUUGUAAAAUGUAAGUCAAAUCAUGUCCCUUGCGUACUCAAUGGUUCCCCAUUUUUCUCUGAAUAAAAGCCAGAGUCCUUAAAUGGCACACCAGACCCUGGAGGUUCUGGCCCUGCUUAUUUCCAUGCUCUCCCCUUGCUUGCUCCACUCCAGCCACACUGGCCUCUGCGGAGUUUUCUGAACUCACUAGGCAUGCCACUCAGAGCUAUGAAUUUGCUAUUCCCUCUCCCUGGACUACUCCCUCAUCACUAUAGCCAUAAGAUAGUGGAUAGAGAUAGUCCUCCCCGGACUGCUCCCUCCUCAGGUACAGCCAUAUGAUUUGCUCCCUUGUUAACAUCAUUUUCUCAAAGAAACAUUGACUUUAAGCCUUUCGAUGGCUCGUUCCUAACAGUAAAACCCAAGCUUGGCCUGCAAGUCCUGGAGCAAUCUAACUGCUUCUCCUCUCUGCAGAGUCAUCUCCCCGCUCUCUUCUCCCUGUUUACUAGACCCAGCCAUUGCAGCGUUCUUAUAGCUUUCUGAAGGCACCAAGUUCUUUGCUGUCCCUGCUUAGAACUCUUUUCCAUCUACUUCUCACUCACUAGCUCCAACUCAUCUUCUAGGUUUCAGAGCCCACGUCACUUCUUUAGGAACGCCCCUCCUCACUUACCCCUGCCAUCUAUAUUUGAUCUCUCUCUGUAAAGACUCUAUACUGUUCCUUCAUAGAACUUAAUGUAUAACUUCAUAUUCUCAUUAUGUGAUUAUUUGUGUAAUGAAUGUUUCUCCUACUCCACUGUAAGUUCCAUGAGGUCAAAAAUCUUGUCUGUCUGGUUGGUCACCAGAUACCCCACACCAGGCACAGUGCCCAGCUCAUAGUAUGUAUUUAAAAAUGAAUAGAUCUGAUUUUAUUAUACCUCUAUCUUACUUUUGCUAAUUUUUCAAAAGGACUUUAUUAUCUGUUUACCAGAAAAUAAAGUCUAUUAUCCAAGCUUGUGAUAGAUUUCUACUUGGCUAAAUAAAACAUAAUAUUCUUUUAGGUUCUCUGGGACUAGAGAGUAGUCGAAGAGCAAAUGAUUUUCAUUGGUUUAUAAUGUAUUCCUAUAGAAAUCACUUUGAUAAAAUAGAAUAAAAAUAUGCUGGAAGUUUUUGAAAACAAAGCCUAUAACUGUUCCUUUAAGGCUUAGAUCCUUAGCAAUAAAAUCCCCCGUGAUUCUAAGUCCCACUGAGUCUCUACAGCACUGCCCUCAGCUCUAACAGCUCCUGGAAGCACUGGCAGGACAUGAUCUACAUUUCCACAUGGCAGGGUUACACUCAGAUUUUGUUCCAAGCAUGCUUUUUAUGGAUCUGAUUGUCCCUCUUCUAAAGGCAGAGUUACCUCACUAGGGUAUUGAGGAUGGGGGGCUGGCUAUAGUAGGGAUGGUGCUGGAGAUUGUUGAUACAAAGGGAUCAUGAAAAUGAAUAAAGCUGUCCAGGAGACUCAGGAAGAUUCAGCCAACUCUAAGGAAGAUAUCAGUCUGGAUUUAAUCAGAGAAGCAGAACCACUAGGAGAGAGAUAUAUAAUAAAGGAUUUGUUCAGGGAUUUGAUCUUUCACAAUUACGGGAUUUGGUUAUAAAGUCUCUGUAAGGCCCUGUGUCUAAUGUUAGAGCCUGAAGUUUUCAGCAAGUAGUUGGGAAAGGAAUAUGGCUAUAAAGCAGAGGUUCUUAACUAGAGCCUAUUUUGACCCCCAGGAGACAUGUGGUACUGUUUGGAGACAUUCUGGCUUGUCACAACUUGGGUGUAGGCUAUGACAUGUAGUGAGUACAAGCCAGGGAGGCCACUAAAUAUCCUACAAUGAAUAGGCCAGUCCCCCACAGUAAAGAAUUAUCCAACCCAAAUGUCAAUAAUGCUGAGGCUGAGAAACCCUCACAUAAAGUAAGGAAAAAACUGGAAACUGCGAGUGUAAGCUGGCGCCCAAGAAGAUGAACUAGAACCAAUGCUUCCUAAUGCUUCCAGCUUUAACAAUGCAGGUGUUCGGCAGCAGACAUGGGUGCCUUUUGUCAAAAAGCUAACCGUGCACUUCACUAGAGCCAGAAAAGCUGAAGAAAGAUCCAGGGGCAGGUGGAAAAGCUGCCAGCCCAGCUGCGGUUCCACACCAAUAAGGUGAGCCAACAGAUAGUGACAAGAUGUGUGAGCUGCAACCAGCACCUGGUGCCUCUACAACAACCACCCCUGCAACCCCUGACUCUGCCCCCUGCACAUAAAAGCAAUAUUGCCACUGCUUCCAAAUCCUAGGCCAAAUAUCUCUUGCGGCCCACCUUAAACAUACAGGGAAGAAAUCUGUGGAAAAUGUAGUUUAGCCUUGCCAAGUUGACACUUUAUAAAGGUACUCACAGGAUAUGCAUGGAGGAGUUACGUAUUAGGGUUCUCCAGAGAAACAGAAGCAAUAUAAGGUGUGUGUGCGUGUGUGUGUGUGUGUGUGUGUGUGUGUGUGUGUGUGUGUGUGUGUGUUUGGAGAGAGACAAAGAGAAAGAGAGAGAGGUGUAUUAUAAGAAAUUGGCUCACAUGAUUAUGAAGGCUAACAAGUCCCAAGAUCUGUGAUCAGCAAGCUGGAAACCCAAAGAGCCGAUGGUAUAAAUCCUUUCCAAGUUUGAAGUCCUGAGAACCAGCAGAGGCAAUAGUUGAAGUUUUAUUCUGAAAGUCAUCAGGCUCAAGACCCAAAAGGAGCCAAUGUUUCCAUUUGAGUUGAAGGCAGGAAAAGACCAAUGUCCCAGCUUGAAGGCAGUCAGGCAGAAGAAAUUAUUUCUUACUCAGCCUUUUUGUUCUACUGGAUGAGACACACCCACAUUAGGGAGGGCAAUCUGCUUUAUAGGAAUAUAGGAAGCUUUCAGUCUUUCUAUUCAAAUGUUAAUCUCGCCCAGAAAUUUCCUUAUAGACAAACCAGAAUAAUGUUUCAUCAAAUAUCUGGGCACCCUGAGGCCCAAUCAAACUGACACAUAAAAUUAACCAUAACAAGUUGCUUAAAGCAUUUCUUAGGCUGUACUUCAGUAACCUCAAGACGUUGGAAUAAUGGUCCCUCUCUUCAGACCUUCUGUAAAACCUUGAGUGUGCUCUAUUAUACCAUUUAUUGAUUUUUUUACACUGUCUUUCACCUCCAUCCAACUAUUAUCAGAUCCACUUUUAUUCAGUUUUAUAUCUUUGCCUCCUGGCAAAUGGCUUGGCACAUAGUAGAUACUCAAUUAAUACUGGUUAAAUGAGCACAGGCUUUUAAUGUGGAAGAACCCCAAGCUAAAUUGGAAAUAAUAAUUCACCUCAGAUGAAUUUGGUCCACACAAAAAAUCUUUGUUUUAGAAGUUAUAUUGUUCAGACUUCUGAGAAAUAUUCUAGUUUGCUUACAUCAACAACUUCAAAGACCUUCCCUGGGAUAUUCCAGCAAUGACCUGCUAGAAUGCUUUGUUAGAGUAAAAAACAAACUGGUCUUUUCUCUUGGUAGAAAUGAAGUAAGGCAGAAAUAAAAAUGUUAAGAGCAAAUACUUCAAGUGUAAUAGACCCUUCAAGAUGAUUUUUCACGUUCAAAACAUACUAAUUAAGCAGCAAAAUAGUAAAUUCUAAAAUUUGAAGCAACAAGAAUCGAUAGGAGGAAAAAAAGAGCGGCAGACAACCCUUGUUUUUAAUCUAAUCACAACAGAUCACUGUGUUCAACUGGAGGAAGGGAAGCUUAUAGAGAUGAAAGUUCCCAGGAAAACAAAAAUCAUCGCUUCCCUGCUUUUCAUUUUUAUUUUUUGUUUUUGUUGUUUUUGUUUUGAGAUGGAGCAUCCCUCUUGUUGCCCAGGCUCGAGUGCAAUGGCAUGAUCUCGUCUCACGGCAACCUCCGCCUCCCAGGUUCAAGCAAUUCUCCUGCUUCAGCUUCCCAAGUAACUGGGAUUACACAGGCGUGCACCACCAUGCCCGGCUAAUUUUUUUUUGUAUUUUUAGUAGAGACAGGGUUUCUUCAUGUUGGUCAGGCUGUCUCAAACUCCUGACCUCAGGUAAUGUGCCUGGCUCCCUUCCCUGCUUUUUAUAAAUAAAAAAAAU